rnacentral:tRNA from 1 species
GCACCGGUAGCUCAGCUGGAUAGAGCAACGGCCUUCUAAGCCGUAGGUCACAGGUUCGAAUCCUGUCCGGUGCA